AAGCCCUCUGCCCGUAAAGCAUUUCCCCCCUGCUAGGUAUUGAUGGAGGCCAGCAGACUCUCCAAUAUGUGUGUUUCACGCUUGCAGCACAUCGCAUUGUAGAGCCAGCCGCAUUUCAGUGGACCACAUUCUGUCACGAGGAGAUACCCCUCGU